GGGCGGCGGCCAAGAGGAGCUACCCCGCAUCAGAGGUAAGGAGCAGCGACUGCGCUUUGCUGGAGCAGCUGUGAAGAGAGACCCCAUGUCCACGGUGGUUGCAAGUGACAGUAAGUUCCAUCUGGAAACAAGAAAUCCAAUCAGUAUGUCAAACAUUUGGAAAGAGGGCAAGGUACAUAUCCAUCCUGCAAAGCUGAUUUGGGGCAAUUAGGAAUAGAGAGCAGAAUAUAUGGAAAUCAACCAUCUUUAUAGCAGGACACUUGGAUCAAUUUCCAGAUAUACAAGAUUUAAAUGACUAAAGUCUCCAACUUACAACCUAAAAAGGUAUACAGUUUCCAGUCUCAUUUCUCUGGCCCUGAGAGCUAGUGUUGCAAAUCUACUUAGCACCCCAAGCUAUUCCAGAACACAUGGCUACCUGUUAAAUUUUAGACUCCAAAGCAAGAACAUUCAGAUCUUUCCCUUGGCCAAUUGCUUUGUGACCCUAUGCACUGUAGCCAGCCAGGGUAUUCUGUCCAUGGGAUUUUCGAGAGGGCACUCAACAUACACUGGUGUCUUUCUUCCUCACUCACUUGUUCAAAAUUGCAGACUGCAAUUCAGCAAGAACUGCAAGAGGAUAAGGUCUGAGGUUUCUUCCUUUGAAAUCAAAUUAUUACAGCCUUGAAUGAAAUGAACCUCAUUGCAAGCGAGUUUGGAGACAAAGAAAAUUCCGUUUCAGCUUAAGUUGCACUUUGAUUUCCUCAAAUAAUACUACUUCCUGCUUCAUAUGUGGAUCAAAGUGAGAAAGGAAAGAUGAGGGUUGACACAAAGAUACCUAUGAAAUCUUUCAUGAAAGAAGAAAUGGAAGAAAGGAUAUAAAGAAUUAUACCAUUUAAGGUGAUUAUUAUUUUAUAACAAUU